rnacentral:tRNA from 1 species
GCGAGGGUAGCUCAACUGGUAGAGCGAUCGGCUCCUAGACCGAACGGUUGCAGGUUCAAGUCCUGCCCCUUGCU